AUUGAACGCUGGCGGCAGGCCUAACACAUGCAAGUCGAGCGGAUGAAGGGAGCUUGCUCCUGGAUUCAGCGGCGGACGGGUGAGUAAUGCCUAGGAAUCUGCCUGGUAGUGGGGGAUAACGUCCGGAAACGGGCGCUAAUACCGCAUACGUCCUGAGGGAGAAAGAGGGGGAUCUUCGGACCUCACGCUAUCAGAUGAGCCUAGGUCGGAUUAGCUAGUUGGUGGGGUAAAGGCCUACCAAGGCGACGAUCCGUAACUGGUCUGAGAGGAUGAUCAGUCACACUGGAACUGAGACACGGUCCAGACUCCUACGGGAGGCAGCAGUGGGGAAUAUUGGACAAUGGGCGAAAGCCUGAUCCAGCCAUGCCGCGUGUGUGAAGAAGGUCUUCGGAUUGUAAAGCACUUUAAGUUGGGAGGAAGGGCAGUAAGUUAAUACCUUGCUGUUUUGACGUUACCAACAGAGUAAGCACCGGCUAACUUCGUG
rnacentral:rRNA from 1 species